AUUGAACGCUGGCGGCAUGCCUAACACAUGCAAGUCGAACGCGAAAGGGUUUCGGCCUGAGUAGAGUGGCGGACGGGUGAGUAAUGCGUGGGAAUCUGCCUUGCAGUGGGGGACAACCCGGGGAAACUCGGGCUAAUACCGCAUACGACCUACGGGGGAAAGGGGGCUUCGGCUCUCGCUGCAAGAUGAGCCCACGUCCGAUUAGCUAGUUGGUAGGGUAAAGGCCUACCAAGGCGACGAUCGGUAGCUGGUCUGAGAGGAUGAUCAGCCACACUGGGACUGAGACACGGCCCAGACUCCUACGGGUGGCAG
rnacentral:rRNA from 1 species